rnacentral:sRNA from 1 species
UUUUAUGCAAUGGUAGAAACUGAUUUUUUUAUUAAAUACUAAUUAUUCGUUUUAGCCCAUCGUAAGAUGAUAACGCCAUCGGCAAUAGUAACUAAAAACGUAUUGCAAAUAUGCUUAUGAAUAAAAACUAAUUACAACUAUACUUAUAAAUACAAACGUUUUACCAAUAUGCUUAUAAAUAUAACUAAACUAAACUAAAUAUCAACUCCAAUGUCCUCCAGGAAGUCGCAGAUCAAAGGUAUUUUUUCAAAACCAUGAAGAGUUAUGAAUUCUUGUAGGGUUGUACAUGCCGAUAACUCAGGGAAAUUACGUGAAACCAUACCGAACUUAUCGUAAAGAAAAAUUAUAUGUUGUGCCGUCUUUGGAAUAUCACACUACUACAAUUGCCUGUAUCAAACACCCCCAUUCUGGCCAAUGUUGCCUUGCAGAAAGUGUGACCACUCAAGAUACGAUUAAGAGUUUUUACUCUGGCAGGUUCCUAGUUUCUGGAAAUAUCUUAAAAUAAUGUGAGUUUGCAUUCGCUGCUACAGUUGCAUACUGGGAAGUCCAUUCACGCCACAACUGCUCCUAAAUCCGAGAAACCGCAUCUGCAAUUGGCCAAGAUAUACUUCGCAGAAUGCCAGACGAACAUGCCUUACGAGCUACAGCGUCCACCACUUCAUUCGGACGAAUGCCGCAAUGCCCAGGUAUGAAAUGCAUUUCAACUGGAGAAGUAAAUGUCAUAGCUAGUCUCCUAGCUUCGUUACUCAGCCCCUGGAGGACACCCAAGCUGUCAGUCAAAAUUGCUAUCUUAUCAAAAUCUUUAUUCCUAGAGAAUUCCAGUGCCUCUACAAUUGCCAACAACUGGCUGACAAUGAUGAUAACUUCUUAUCAACAAAAAAUCCAUUGCUAAUGUCGGAGGCUUAAUGUAAAAAAGCAAAACCAGUUUUUGCAGCCACAACUGAUCCAUUAGUAAAAAAUACUUGGACAUUGUUCCUCUCUUAAGUGUUCCAUCUUUUCAUUGAAUAAAGCUUUAAUAAUUUGAACACUAGCCUCUUUUUUGUUUCCAGCAGCGCCCUUAAAAAAAGUUCUUAUCCAUGAUGAAAUUAAUCGACAUUUCCAUACAAACUGGCGUCUUUUCCACCUCAUAAAAAAGUGUAUGAAACUUCUCUUAGACUCUACCGUAACUUGUCUUUCGUGAUUGAGCAUCUCGAACAAAUUCUAAAGCUGGUAAACCCCGCGCAAAAGACUUCACCCGUUCCUUAGCCGUAGCAAACUCAAAUCCUAGUAUCAACGGAAGCUCCGCCGCCAAAUGAUAAAGAAUGGUUGUAUUCGUGGAUGUUAUCAACUCAACGACUUGCGUAAAAAUAUAUUCUAGCAUGUUUUCAACUUAUUGUCUGACGUUUCGUAAGAUUUGCCGGUUCAGCUGCACCAUACUCCACCUUAGAACGUGCAAAGCCCUUUACAAAAGCAGAGCUCUCAUAGGAUCCACUCCAAUCUUGCAGCCGCUUAAAAUCUUCAAAAAAUUACUCAAUGCUCGCUAUAGUCCUGUUAACGUGAUUAGUCAUCGUGCCACCGGAAGACAUCACCAUACCAAGAAAUUUGAAACUGAUCUCUCGCUUCAAAGAGACGCCAUUAAUAUCAAUCGGAUACUUUCCGCAGCAGCUAAAUUUCUAUGGUGCACCAAAAUCACGAAAUCAUCAGCAAACUGGAAAAGUACAGUGUUCUCCUUAAUAAUAUCGUGCAGGCCUCUCGUGUAAAGAUUGAAUAGAGUCGGACUUAGACCGCUGCCCUGAGCCAGACCAUUGCUUCUCACGCACGUAUUACCAUCUAGCGUCAGUAAUCUUCGUUUGUGAAACACCAAAAUCCAACUAAUCACAUGACUGUUAAACCCAAGAGUAAACAUAUUCAUUGUCGGUAAACCUACAUACAUCUACGCAGCCGUAGGCCUUCUCAACAUCAAACACAUACCAAGAACAUAGUUGCCCUUUGCCUUUUUGGAGUUAAUCACACCCAACAAAUCAUUAAUACAAUUUGAAGUGGACCAGCCUCUCCUAAAUGCAAACGAUCUCGCAGGCAGCAAAUUGUGUUUAUCAGUAUGUUCCUGGACAUUAUCCUUUAAAUGUACCUCUAAAAUCUUAUAAUGCGUACAAUGUAAAGCUAUUGGUCGAUAGUUCGCAAUUUUGGAUGGAUGGUAUAAUUCCACUAGCCCAAACAGCACACAAAACAUCGAACAAUUGUUUCUUUUCUUCAUCCCGCAAUCUCAGAAUCGUACCAUAAGUCACCUUAUCAGUACCAGCCGAAGAUCUAGCAUUACGGUAGAUCCCAUAAUAGCCGUAGAUGGAAGUGAAAUCGUAUUCAUACCAGUUGAUAUCAUGUCCAAAUCCAUUUUCUUAUCUUUUAAUCGUUCCAUGAGUUCCAUGAGAAGGCAACAAACGCCUUCUCCAUUUUAUAUUUUUUGACAUUUCGUAUUCUCUGCCAUACAUAUCUCAAAGGCAUUGAGCUGGCGAUUUCUCCCAAAAAAUUCCAAAAUUCGAUCUGUUCUUUUCCUGCGUGUAAAUACGGAAUUCCUGAUCAGCUCCAAUGAAAAGUUCAUAAUAUCUCUGACGAGCAGCACAUCCAAGUCUAAAAAGUCUAGAGCACUCAGUGUCCCACCAUCGUUUGGGUAUACGCGUUUUACCAGCGAAAACUGAAAAUGUGUUUCUUUCUAUAACAGCCUGCACUUUGCCAGUAAAUUUUUCUAUUGUGGAGCCAACAUAUAGAACAAACAUAUCUCUCAAAACUCGCGAAAAGUUAACUUUCCUUGCAUUUCUUGACACGGGCGGGCAAUCAAUUAAUUCCACAACAAUCGGCAAAUGAUUACUGUUUGAGAGUUUCGAUCUCACCGUUCUCCGAGAAAAUCUGCAACUCGAGUGCUUUAACAGCCGAUUCCUGGGUCUCACUUGCGCUAAAAGUGGGACUGCCAUCAUUAAUACACAUAAAUUCCGAGUGUCUUAUCACCUCACUGAGAAAUUCACCAUUGCAAUCAGAAGAAAAAUUACCUCAUAAUGCAGCCUUUGCAUUGAAAUGUCCUACCUAAACCGUGAGCCCACGAAAUCCAUUAAUGCGACUCAUUAUAAUCCUAAUGGUUCAGUGUCGAAAUGCCAAUAGCCUCCACCUCAUCGCCAAAACUCAGUAUACUAAACCGUAUAUUCCUCCUCGAGUAGAUGCCUACCCCACCGAAACCAUCAGCUCUAUUCUUGGAAGUAAAAUUGAAGUUGCAUAGAUUUGUAGACGAAUUAUCUCCUAUCCAAAUUUAACUAACGCAAAAUCAAUCUUUUUUCUCUCCAGAAACAUUUCAGCAGCAGUAUCUUAGACAUGAUGAUAUAAAAUUUGAUUGAAAACAAAAACUGCAAUAACCACUCUGGAGAAAGUGAGAUGAAAUAAAUAAAAGGUUAAUCAAGUAUAAUCGGUUGCGAGUCCGCAACUCUGAUUCUCUCUGAAUCGACUGUAGUUACUCGACUAUUUAAAUCUCUUCGCAUAUCCAACAAAAAAUCAAUUUGUUCGGGUUUCAAUGUACUAAUGCCAGCAGCUAAAAUCUUAGCAAUCUUAGCGUUGUAAUCAUUAAGAGUGUUUUCAAAUUCUGAGACCCGAUGCAUGGUUCCUGCAACCAAAACAGAUCUAUUGGGAGAUAUGUAGGGCUCUUCUUGCUCCAUAACGCUCCUCUGGUCAUGUAAUGUGCGUCUCGAGUUCUCCUCUUCGCGCAAUCUGUUAGCAUUAACUUUCGUUACCUUUGAAAAAGGGUGUAUUGCAUGCAACAAACUUGAUGACUCCAUCGUAUCGACAUGGACAGGUCUACGUGGCUCGUUUCUAACGGUAUCUUUCUGAUGAAGUGUCGGGAAACCACCUCCCACUUCCUCAUCAAGAAGUUUGAAUAUAUUGGAGAAAACAGCGGAAUACUUAGCUCGUAUCUCUCUUUCAUGGUUCCAUUGCCAUAAUUCUCUUGAUUUUAAAAGCAUUUGGUCUUGCUGGACAAUUUCGGUUGGUUGUCCGAUGAUCACAUUUGCAAUUUGUACAAACCAGUGUCGAAAUGCAUGGUUCUUCCUCUACAUGUGGUUGAAAACAACGUCUGCAACACGCUACUGUAUGUUUGCAAUGCUCCGCAAAAUGGUGAAAGCGAAAAUAUUUAUAGCACUGACCAAAAUAUAUAAAUGUCUUUACCGGGUAAUUAAUUCCUUGUUUGAAAUCAUUAGUAGAAAACACAACUUGCGUGGGCACUG